CGCAGGGGGUGGCGGGGGGCGAGUGGAGGCGCGUGUUCCUCGUGUCUGAGGGAGGGGACUGCUCGCGUCGGCCUGGUGGUCGACCCUGGCCCGCGGGGUGACGCGGGGGUCUCCGGUGCCACCUGCCCCAGCCUGGGCCGCGGGGCCCCGGACGAGGGAGGAGGAGGGGACUUGGGCCGAAGUCAGGCUCCGACGCCGGGGCGGGGCUGCAGCAGGCUCGGCGGCCGGGCCGGCGGGGCCAGCGCGGGGGUCUGGGGAGGGCGUAGAUAGCGGAUGAGACUCUUCCUACAUCACGUUGUGUCACUCUUUCCCCAGGGUUUCCUCAGAAAACGAGAACUUUCCAGCCCCCGGCGAUUAGAUGCAGGCGGGCGGCGUUUGGCCAUUUCCUCCUGGUCGGUGAGAACCCUCAGAGCGCGCUCAGUUUGGGGGAUCCAGGUGAGUUCACUGGAAGAUGCGUGUGCGGGGUCAGCGCGUGCCGCGUUCUUUUCUGCGUGGUUCCGUGUACCUGCGGUGUAAUUGUUGGGGGCUUGGAACUUUGUGGGUGCCUUUGGUUUCAUUUACUCAGCUGUGUAACUCUGAAUGCUAACCUGCUUAAGACCCUGUUGUGUAUGGAUAUAAAUAAAAGGGGUCUGUCCCCAAGGAGACUUUUCACGCACUUUAUGGUCUUUGUCCCCAGUGACCUUAUGUGUGAUGUGUCGCCUCUGCCGCCGAGAUGCAUAGUUGGCGGCACAGAAGAGUGACCGAGCCACUCGGGGUUCUCUGUAGGAAGUGUGAGUACUGGGGGCACUGCUCACCCCAGAGGAGCAUGAGCUGUCCAGGAGUGGGGGCACCUGGAGGGAGGUGACCAUUGUCUCCGUGAUCUAAGAGGAAUGGGGGUGGCUAGUGUAAUUCAGGGUGGCGGUCACCUUGUGCAGACCUCACUUUGACUAGAAUUUCCCCAGAAGUGACUGCUGGCCUCAGGCCUGGUCGCCGGUGGCUGCCGGGCGCUGCCCACUGCUUCCUCACCUGCGUCUCUGGCCCCUUGCGGGGGCCGUCCCCGAAAAAUUCUCCCAAGCCUUCCUGUCUUUUGACCGUUCGGCACAUCUUGAUGUGAGAAAAGGAAAAACCACGUCAGUGGUGGUUCCCCUAUGUCGUGCUGCCUUCGCGUUCCAUGUUAGGGUGACACGUAUGUUUUCACGCGGCCUAGAAAGGUUAUCCUGACCUUCAGACCUAGGCGUGCCACACCCAGGGUUCCUGCCUGUCCUUCUUGAUUGUGUCCGUGUUUUCGAUGUACUCUCUGACUCUUUUGACUUAGCAUCCUCUGGCCCAACACUCCUCUUGUCCAGCUCAACUCCCGGGAGGGUCUGGCCUGCGAGUGCCCAGAGCCAAGAGUGUCACUUCAGACCUUGCCAGGGAAGCUGUCAGUGGGCUUCGUCACAGACCCAUAGUCCGAGCAACCGCCGCCAUGGAGGGAGGCACGGCCACCCCGGGAGACGGCAGCUCGCGUGUUGCACCGAAGGCAGAAGCACCCAUGUUCUCCGCAGCCCGAGGAGUUAGUGUGGGGCUUUCACGUCCCAGCUCUGCCCCUGGCCUGCUGUGUAACCUCAGGCUGGCCACUUCCCUGUUUCUUAGUAAGACAGGGACCGUGAUGACGGUGACUCCCAAAGGCGGGCGCUUGUGAGGGGUUGGAGAGCAGAUCAUGGGAAGUGCUCAGGAGCGCUUCAGACCCGUGAAGUCGCCCGUUCUCGGAUUUUCAGGACCUCUCUCGGUGUGUCCAGCGGCGAGCUUCCAGAGCGCUGCCGUGCGGGCGGGUGCUGGCACGCGAGGUGCUGCCUGCCCCAGGAGCGGCCUACCUGCUACCAGGCGUGGGGGCUGGGACGGGUUUGCUGCAGGCCCUUGGCUUUCCAGCCCGCUUGUGUUCACUUUUGGGCCAGAAGCUUUAGCUCCUUGGCCCCCUGAGCAGGAACACCGUGUUGCCAGCACGGAAAGUGAUGACGUGACGUGCUUCGUAUUGAUAGAGUCACGUGUGAUAUGCAGGUCCCUCUUUCGCGUUCUCAUUUGGCAUUGGCGUCGACGGAGGAGGGUGCUUGGGUGUCCCCAGUGUGUGCGCGCAGCUUGGUCUGAAACCUCUCGGGGCGGGAGAGCCUGCCGAGUGCAGGGGAAAGACGGAUGAGGAGAGAGCUGCUUGGACACAGCGGCGUGGGCUGAGAUCCUGCAGGCUUCCGUGGCAGCCCCUCACCCCUCCAGCUGCUCCCCAGUGUGGGUGUUUCACAUUGAACCUCUGCCCGUUUCCUCUGUGGCCGCACCCCGAGACGACAGCCUCCAUCUGUCCUGCACCCCGAUGCGGUGUGCUGGGUGCUGCUGGCGACGGGAGGGAAGCCCGGAACCCCCAGGGGGACGCUCGGGAGGAUGUUGCGUGUGGCCGAGGCCAUACCUGAGAAUAUGCCCCAGCUGUCUCCUGCUCGGUCACUAGGUUGCAGCUGGCCUGGGCGUGGCCGUGGUGUACUUGCUUCCCCCAGAGAGCACGGAUCUAAAAUAGGCUGCAGUAUGAUGCGGAUGGCUGCCGCGGUUCUGGGUUUUGUUCCUCUGGAUUAUGUAAGAGGGUUGAGGUAGGCAGGAGUCCAGUCGCUUCAAAGCACUGGGCCUUUUAAUAAUAGCAGUGGAUAAUGAAAUGCGCAGUCUGUAAGAAGUAAUUUUUUUUAACGUUAAAAAUGGCCGUGGGUCGCAAGAGGCCUGUGGCAGAAAACAGAACUAAAAAACAGCUACAGCACAGCAGGGUUUGGAACUUUCCCUCUUUGUCCACUAGAGGACGCCAUCCUGAGGAGCCACCCAGUUCUCGGUGGUAACUCGGUCCACUUUUAGUUUUUCAAUUUGGCCAAGCCCUUAUUUCACCAGAAAGUGCUGCAGAAGGUUAAUCGGCAGGGUUGGGCUCCUUGUUAGGGCUCUGCCGGGAGGUCCCCGUUGCACACAGUUCCUGGGAAGUGUCCAUCGUGUCAUGGAUGAGCUGAACCCCACUCGGGCACAGGACACAGCGCUUGGGGAGAAGAGCAUGUUUUACUGCAGCUUCCCGUCCAGAAUCCCUCCCAGGGACGCCAAGUGGUUCUAGGUGGCGUGAGAGAUUUUCUUCGACACUUUUAUCCGCGACAGCACAUUCGAACAACCGUGGAACGCCACAGACUUUUCCACGACCUCCCCUCCCGUUCCUCCAAGAAGCUACCAGGCAGGAUACUCGGUCUUCAACUGUACAAUUCACCCCUCUUCGUGGACAGUGUGGCUGUGAGUAGGGGUGAGGCUGCGGGUUGGGGGAGUUUGGGGACUGUGAUUUCAGGCCAACACCCCGUCUUUACAAAAUUAAAUACUCAGCAUCCUUUUCAUGCCAUAAUUGGUGACCUCGGGGUCUGUUAAGCACCACCUACCCCACUGUUUCCAGCCUCUCUCUCUUCUUUGCAGUAAAUGCUGGUGAACUAACCUGUGUGCAAAGACACUUUUUGGGUGCGUGCAGAAACCCAGGCAACAUCUUUGCAAGAUUGAUGUCUUUAAAAGCCCUAAUAAUCUCUUCUCAUCGGCUGAUGAGUUUCGACAGCCCAAUGGUGAUCGAUCUGCUCUACAGCUUUUAAACAGAGCUGCUGGCUUCUAGAGUAACUUCACAGAUCGAGCCCUAGAUGAGGAUUUGCUCCAUAGGGUCGGCCCGUCCCCAGUGAUUGCUCAGGAAGGCCCAUCCCCCUGCUGGCCCUGGCCAUCUCCCGCGGGAAGAAACGUCGUAGGGCUGAGGGGUUAGACAGGCCUUCAGUACCAUGGAGCUGGAGGCAAAGGGUUAAGUUUGGGGGUGUCAGAUCUUUGAGACUCCCUAAGACCCCUGCUCGCCCCCACCCCCUUAUUCCCAACUCUUGAGAAUCUACGUAGAAUGGUGGAGUGGGCCUCGCUAGGACCAGAAGGCCAGCCGUUGUACCAGCCUGGCGCUGACGUUCUCUGGAACCUACGAUCAGAAGGCCUGAGGUUUGGAGGCCAAGGAGCAAGACCAGUCUUCAUCUUGGUCAGCCGCAGGGUCAACUGGAUGGCAGGGAUA